AAGGGCGUGCUAAUCUGCGAUAAGCGCCGGUAAGGUGAUAUGAACCGUUAUAACCGGCGAUACCCGAAUGGGGAAACCCAGUGUGACUCGUCACACUAUCAUUAACUGAAUCCAUAGGUUAAUGAGGCGAACCGGGGGAACUGAAACAUCUAAGUACCCCGAGGAAAAGAAAUCAACCGAGAUUCCCCCAGUAGCGGCGAGCGAACGGGGAGGAGCCCAGAGCCUGAAUCAGCAUGUGUGUUAGUGGAAGCGUCUGGAAAGGCGCGCGAUACAGGGUGACAGCCCCGUACACAAAAGCGCAUGUGCUGUGAGCUCGAUGAGUAGGGCGGGACACGUGGUAUCCUGUCUGAAUAUGGGGGGACCAUCCUCCAAGGCUAAAUACUCCUGACUGACCGAUAGUGAACCAGUACCGUGAGGGAAAGGCGAAAAGAACCCCGGCGAGGGGAGUGAAAAAGAACCUGAAACCGUGUACGUACAAGCAGUGGGAGCCCCACCACCAAAGCAUUUGCUGUACCGCGUUGACGGAGCGAAGCGACGUCAAACCGAUAAAACAGCAGUGUAAAGUGAGCCGCAGGGCGCUUUGCGCGACAGCGCAAAGGCAGGCGGUUUCGCGUAGCGAAAGCGAAUGCUUUGGGGUGGGGUGACUGCGUACCUUUUGUAUAAUGGGUCAGCGACUUAUAUUCUGUAGCAAGGUUAACCGAAUAGGGGAGCCGGAGGGAAACCGAGUCUUAAUUGGGCGUUAAGUUGCAGGGUAUAGACCCGAAACCCGGUGAUCUAGCCAUGGGCAGGUUGAAGGUUGGGUAACACUAACUGGAGGACCGAACCGACUAAUGUUGAAAAAUUAGCGGAUGACCUGUGGCUGGGGGUGAAAGGCCAAUCAAACCGGGAGAUAGCUGGUUCUCCCCGAAAGCUAUUUAGGUAGCGCCUCGUGAAUUCAUCUCCGGGGGUAGAGCACUGUUUCGGCUAGGGGGCCAUCCCGGCUUACCAACCCGAUGCAAACUGCGAAUACCGGAGAAUGUUAUCACGGGAGACACACGGCGGGUGCUAACGUCCGUCGUGAAGAGGGAAACAACCCAGACCGCCAGCUAAGGUCCCAAAGUCAUGGUUAAGUGGGAAACGAUGUGGGAAGGCCCAGACAGCCAGGAUGUUGGCUUAGAAGCAGCCAUCAUUUAAAGAAAGCGUAAUAGCUCACUGGUCGAGUCGGCCUGCGCGGAAGAUGUAACGGGGCUAAACCAUGCACCGAAGCUGCGGCAGCGACACUGUGUGUUGUUGGGUAGGGGAGCGUUCUGUAAGCCUGUGAAGGUGUGUCGUGAGGCAUGCUGGAGGUAUCAGAAGUGCGAAUGCUGACAUAAGUAACGAUAAAGCGGGUGAAAAGCCCGCUCGCCGGAAGACCAAGGGUUCCUGUCCAACGUUAAUCGGGGCAGGGUGAGUCGACCCCUAAGGCGAGGCCGAAAGGCGUAGUCGAUGGGAAACGGGUUAAUAUUCCCGUACUUGGUGUUACUGCGAAGGGGGGACGGAGAAGGCUAUGUUGGCCGGGCGACGGUUGUCCCGGUUUAAGCGUGUAGGUGUGUGUUCCAGGUAAAUCCGGUUCACUUUAACACUGAGGCGUGACGACGAGGCACUACGGUGCUGAAGCAACAAAUGCCCUGCUUCCAGGAAAAGCCUCUAAGCAUCAGGUAACAUCAAAUCGUACCCCAAACCGACACAGGUGGUCAGGUAGAGAAUACCAAGGCGCUUGAGAGAACUCGGGUGAAGGAACUAGGCAAAAUGGUGCCGUAACUUCGGGAGAAGGCACGCUGACACGUAGGUGAAGUGAUUUACUCAUGGAGCUGAAGUCAGUCGAAGAUACCAGCUGGCUGCAACUGUUUAUUAAAAACACAGCACUGUGCAAACACGAAAGUGGACGUAUACGGUGUGACGCCUGCCCGGUGCCGGAAGGUUAAUUGAUGGGGUCAGCGCAAGCGAAGCUCCUGAUCGAAGCCCCGGUAAACGGCGGCCGUAACUAUAACGGUCCUAAGGUAGCGAAAUUCCUUGUCGGGUAAGUUCCGACCUGCACGAAUGGCGUAAUGAUGGCCAGGCUGUCUCCACCCGAGACUCAGUGAAAUUGAACUCGCUGUGAAGAUGCAGUGUACCCGCGGCAAGACGGAAAGACCCCGUGAACCUUUACUAUAGCUUGACACUGAACAUUGAGCCUUGAUGUGUAGGAUAGGUGGGAGGCUUUGAAGUGUGGACGCCAGUCUGCAUGGAGCCGACCUUGAAAUACCACCCUUUAAUGUUUGAUGUUCUAACGUGGACCCGUUACCCGGGUUGCGGACAGUGUCUGGUGGGUAGUUUGACUGGGGCGGUCUCCUCCUAAAGAGUAACGGAGGAGCACGAAGGUUGGCUAAUCCUGGUCGGACAUCAGGAGGUUAGUGCAAUGGCAUAAGCCAGCUUGACUGCGAGCGUGACGGCGCGAGCAGGUGCGAAAGCAGGUCAUAGUGAUCCGGUGGUUCUGAAUGGAAGGGCCAUCGCUCAACGGAUAAAAGGUACUCCGGGGAUAACAGGCUGAUACCGCCCAAGAGUUCAUAUCGACGGCGGUGUUUGGCACCUCGAUGUCGGCUCAUCACAUCCUGGGGCUGAAGUAGGUCCCAAGGGUAUGGCUGUUCGCCAUUUAAAGUGGUACGCGAGCUGGGUUUAGAACGUCGUGAGACAGUUCGGUCCCUAUCUGCCGUGGGCGCUGGAGAACUGAGGGGGGCUGCUCCUAGUACGAGAGGACCGGAGUGGACGCAUCACUGGUGUUCGGGUUGUCAUGCCAAUGGCACUGCCCGGUAGCUAAAUGCGGAAGAGAUAAGUGCUGAAAGCAUCUAAGCACGAAACUUGCCCCGAG
rnacentral:rRNA from 1 species